rnacentral:ncRNA from 1 species
ACCCGCACACCGGGAGAGACUGGCCGCUUUGAAAUGGAAAGCAGCCGGCGCCGAAGGAGCAACCGCCCCGGAAACUCUCAGGCAAAAGGACCGUGUGAGGGA